rnacentral:lncRNA from 1 species
AGCCCAGGUAUCUAUCAUCGGAUGACCUUGGUAAUCAUACGAGGCACCCCAAUCUCUGUAAAUGCACUGCAAAAUUGAUUUUGAAUAAUAAAUGUUAGACUCUACAAUGGCUAAAUUUUAAACAAAUUCAGUGAAGAUAUAGUACUUACCAGUGGCGCUGAAUAUGGAUGAGCUCUCUAUCCUCUGAUCAGAUUAAAGGUACCACGAGCC